AGGACCACCUCGUAAGACUAAAUACUCCUAGAUGACCGAUAGCGAAAAAGUACUGUGAAGGAAAGGUGAAAAAAUCGGUAACUCGAUACAUGAAAUAUUAUGAAACCAUAAGCUGUCAAGCAAUGGGAGGGUUUUUGAACCUGACCAUGUGCCUGUUGAAGAAUGAGCCGGCGACUUAUAGUAAGUGGCGUGGUUAAAGAAAACCAUCUGAAGCCAUAGCGAAAGCGAGUCUUAAUAGGGCGAUAAGUCACUUAUUAUGGACCCGAACCCGGGUGAUCUAACCAUGGCCAGGGUGAAACUUAGGUGAAACUAAGUGGAAGCCCGAACCGACCGAUGUUGAAAAAUCGGCGGAUGAGCUGUGGUUAGGGGUGAAAUGCUAAUCGAACUCGGAGCUAGCUGGUUCUCCCCGAAAUGCGUUGAGGCGCAGCGAUUAAUGAAUAUGGGCUGGAGUAGGGGUAAAGCACUGUUUCGAUGCGGGCUGCGCGAGCGGUACCAAUUCGUAGCAAACUCAGAAUACUAAACAUAAGCUUUCCAUUAAUCAGUGAGACAGUGGGGGAUAAGCUUCAUUGUCAAGAGGGAAACAGCCCAGAUCACUAGCUAAGGCCCCUAAAUGAAUGCUAAGUGGUAAAGGAGGUGAAAAUGCUAAGACAUCCAGAAGGUUUGCUUAGAAGCAGCCAUCCUUAAAAGAGUGCGUAAUAGCUCACUGGUAAAGCGUUUUCGCGCCGAAAAUGAACGGGACUAAGCAAUCUGCCGAAGCUGUGAGUUGAAAUUCGAAAAAACGAAUUUUUGCGGUAGGGGAGCGUUCCGCUCUAGGGUGAAGUAUUUACGGAAAUAAAUAUCGACGAAGCGGAAGUGAGAAUGUCGGCUUGAGUAACGCAAACAUUGGUGAGAAUCCUUUGCCCCGAAAACCUAAGGGUUCCUUCGCAAGACUCGUUCACGAAGGGUUAGUCAGGUCCUAAGGCGAGGCUGAAAAGCGUAGUCGAUGGAAAACAGGUUAAUAUUCCUGUACUAGUUUUUAGUUGAUACCGAGGGACGAAGAAAAUAAAAAAUUAGCCAGAUUCGGAUGGUUGGCAGAGCGACAUGUUCAAGUUUUUCAAAAAAGAGAUUAGAAGAAAAACUAAUCUGACGAACUAGUACACGACUUACUCUCACUAGUGGAAAUUGGUAACAAGAUCCAUCAAGUGUAAUAUUUUAUUAAGCUUCCUAGAAAAGCUCGUAGUAUUGUUAAAAUAAAAAUUACCUGUACCGUAAACCGCCACAGGUAGGUAGGUAGAGUAUACUGAGGGGCGCGAGAUAACUCUCUCUAAGGAACUCGGCAAAAUGACCCCGUAACUUCGGGAGAAGGGGUGCCUCUGGAGAAAUCUAGAGGCCGCAGUGACCAGGCCCAAGCGACUGUUUACCAAAAACACAGGUCUCCGCUAAGUCGUAAGACGAUAUAUGGGGGCUGACGUCUGCCCAGUGCCGGAAGGUUAAGCACGUUGGUUAUUCUUUAUUGAAAAAGCUGACAACCGAAGCCCCGGUGAACGGCGGCCGUAACUAUGACGGUCCUAAGGUAGCGAAAUUCCUUGUCAGGUAAGUUCUGACCCGCACGAAAGGCGUAACGAUUUGGGCGCUGUCUCGGAGAGAGACUCGGUGAAAUAGACAUAUCCGUGAAGAUGCGGAUUACUUGCACCUGGACAGAAAGACCCUAUGAAGCUUGACUGUAGCUUGUAAUUGAAUUUGGGUUUUUUUUGCGCAGACUAGGUGGGAGGCAUUGAUUCUGUUUUUCAGGAAAUAGAGGAGCCGCUUUUGAGAGACCACCCUUAAAACGCUAGAAUUCUAAUAAUGAUCCUUGAAUCAGGACAUUUGACAGUUGCAGGUGGGCAGUUUGACUGGGGCGGUCGCCUCCUAAAAAGUAACGGAGGCGUGCAAAGGUUCCCUCAAACUGGACGGAAAUCAGUUUAAGAGUGUAAAGGUAGAAGGGAGCUUGACUGCAAGACCUACAAGUCGAGCAGGGGCGAAAGCCGGCCUUAGUGAUCCGACGGUACCGUGUGGAAGGGCCGUCGCUCAACGGAUAAAAGUUACUCUAGGGAUAACAGGCUGAUCUUCCCCAAGAGUUCACAUCGACGGGAAGGUUUGGCACCUCGAUGUCGGCUCAUCGCAUCCUGGGGCUGUAGAAGGUCCCAAGGGUUGGGCUGUUCGCCCAUAAAAGCGGUACGUGAGCUGGGUUCAGAACGUAAACAUCACUGCGUUUAUUAGCAGUAAUGUUAAUAUAGUAUCGGCUUAUAUCGGUGAAMCUUCAUUAGUAAAAAAAAACUGGCUAAUAUGGCAAUACCGAGGGAAGAAUUUCCUAUCAUAUCUUUUUUUCUAAAGUAACUAAUAUGCAAGAUACAAAACAAGUUAAAUUAGCCUGGUUAGCAGGCUUNNNNNUGCUGAUGGCUCUGUAAAUGCUCAGAUAAUUCCGAGAGACGAUUACAUAUUAAAAUAUCAAGUACGUGUUAGUUUAACCGUUUCUCAAUCCACAAAAAGACAUCAUAUUCUUUUAUAUAUGCAAAANUUACUAGGUAAAGGAACAAUUCGAAAACGAAAUAAUAGUAUGUCUGAGUUUUGUGUCGUUGGAGCAACACAAGUUAAACUUUCUCUUGAAAGUAUUUUACCGUAUCUUGAAUUAAAAAAACCACAAGCUAAACUUGUAUUAGAAAUUAUACAAAAAUUACCUUAUACCAAAGAUGCUAACACGCUUUUACAUGCGUGUGUUCUUACUGACAAGAUCGGAAUGUUAACAGACGGAAAAAAACGUGAGAUAACUUCUCAAGAAGUUCGAACUACUUUACAAGCUCUUGGACAUGAUGUGUAAUAUGAUAGCAAAUUCCCCGUAGAGACUUCGAGAUGUAUAUCAUACACUCGAGAUACCAAUGUGUUUAAGUUGGUAUAACACGNNNNNNNNNNNNNNNNNNNNNNNNNNNNNNNNNNNNNNNNNNNNNNNNNNNNNNNNNNNNNNNNNNNNNNNNNNNNNNNNNNNNNNNNNNNNNNNNNNNNAAAAAAAGGRWUUUCCAAAAGGGAAUUUUUUUUUUUUUUAAAAAAAAAAAGCAAAACUUUUAGUUUUCACAUGCGUGAGACAGUUCGGUCCAUAUCCGGUGGAAGCGUUAGAGUAUUGAGAGGAUUCUUCUGCUGUACGAGAGGACCCGGAAGGACGUACCACUAGUGUACCAGUUCU
rnacentral:rRNA from 1 species